AUGAUCCUCUUUCUGAGAUAUUGUUGGAAGGUCGAUGGCAGCCUAAUGGUUGGUCACAGUGCCUAUGUCAUUCACCCUAUGUCCUCUCAUCACGUGGACAUUUUGUCAUCUCACAGCAUCACGAGAAGAAGGGUGAGUACUGUACAGUAAGAUACUUGGAGGGAGAGAGAG